CGCGGCCUAUCAGCUUGUUGGUGGGGUAAUGGCUCACCAAGGCGACGACGGGUAGCCGGCCUGAGAGGGUGACCGGCCACACUGGGACUGAGACACGGCCCAGACUCCUACGGGAGGCAGCAGUGGGGAAUAUUGCACAAUGGGCGGAAGCCUGAUGCAGCGACGCCGCGUGAGGGAUGACGGCCUUCGGGUUGUAAACCUCUUUCAGUAGGGAAGAAGCGAGAGUGACGGUACCUGCAGAAGAAGCGCCGGCUAACUACGUGCCAGCAGCCGCGGUAAUACGUAGGGCGCAAGCGUUGUCCGGAAUUAUUGGGCGUAAAGAGCUCGUAGGCGGCUUAGUAAGUCGGCGGUGAAAUACCGAGGCUCAACCUCGGCACUGCCGUCGAUACUGCUAUGGCUAGAGUUUGGUAGAGGAGAACGGAAUUCCCGGUGUAGCGGUGGAAUGCGCAGAUAUCGGGAGGAACACCCGUAGCGAAGGCGGUUCUCUGGGCCAAUACUGACGCUGAGGAGCGAAAGCAUGGGGAGCGAACAGGAUUAGAUACCCUGGUAGUCCAUGCCGUAAACGUUGGGCACUAGGUGUGGGGGACAUUCCACGUUUUCCGCGCCGUAGCUAACGCAUUAAGUGCCCCGCCUGGGGAGUACGG
rnacentral:rRNA from 1 species